rnacentral:rRNA from 1 species
UACGUAGGGGGCUAGCGUUGUCCGGAAUCAUUGGGCGUAAAGAGCGUGUAGGCGGUCCGGUAAGUCCGCUGUGAAAGUCGGGGGCUCAACCCUCGAAUGCCGGUGGAUACUGUCGGGCUAGAGUGCGGAAGAGGCGAGUGGAAUUCCUGGUGUAGCGGUGAAAUGCGCAGAUAUCAGGAGGAACACCAGAGGCGAAAGCGGCGACCUGGACAGGCACUGACACUCAACUACGAAAGCGUGGGGAGCAAACAGG